AUGGCGGACCAGAGCCCCGCCCCUAUCCGUUGCAAAGCGGCGGUGAGCAGAGCCAAGGGCGCGCCGCUCGUCAUCGAGGACAUCGUCGUGGAUCCGCCCAAGGCCUACGAGAUCCGCAUGAAGGUCAUCUGCACCUCCCUCUGCCACACUGACAUCACCUUCUGGCGCGGCAAGGAAGACUUCCCGCUCCCACCCGUGUUCCCAAGGAUCCUAGGCCACGAGGCGUACGGGGUGGUGGAGAGCGUGGGGGAGCGCGUGGAGGGGUUCGCGGUGGGGGACACGGUGGUGCCGACGUUCCUGGGGCAGUGCGACUCCUGCGCCGGCUGCGCGUCGGCGGGGAGCAACAUGUGCUCCGCGCUGCCGUUCGUCGUCGGCCCCGGGAUGCGCCGCGACGGCACCACCCGCUUCAGGGACAGCCAGGGGGAGCCGCUGCACGACUUCCUCGCCGUGUCCAGCUUCAGCCAGUACACCGUCGUCGACGUCAACCAGGUCGUCAAGGUCGACCCCGCCGUGCCGCCCAAGCUCGCCUGCCUCCUCGGCUGCGGCGCCGGCACCGGGGUCGGGGCUGCGUGGAGGUUGGCCAAGGUGCAGCCUGGAUCCUCGGUGGUCAUCUUCGGGCUGGGAGCGGUGGGAUUGUCGGUGGCGCAAGGUGCAAAGAUGUGCGGAGCAGCCAAGAUCAUCGGUGUUGAUCUGAACCCUGACAAAGAAGAACUCGGCAAAAAAUUCGGCGUGACAGAUUUCGUGAACCCAUCAAAACUCGGCGAGAGCCCACUCAGCCAGGUGAUCAUCGAGAUGACGGGCGGCGGCGCCGACUACUGCUUCGAGUGCAUCGGUGUCGCGUCCGUCAUGACCGAGGCGUUCAGAAGCGCUAAGCAGGGGAAUGGCAAGACGGUGAUCCUGGGGCUGGAGAAGGACGGGAAGCCGAUCAGCCUGCCGUCCAUCGAGUUCCUCUUCGGCAAGUGCGUCAUGGGGUCGCUCUUCGGGGGCAUCAAGCCCAAGACCGACAUUCCGAUCCUCGCCAAGAAAUGCAUGAGCAAGGAGCUGGAGCUGGAGAAGCUGAUCACGCACGAGGUGGGCCUGCAGGAGAUAAACACGGCCUUCGACCUGCUCCUGCAGGGGAAGAGCCUCAGGUGCAUCAUCUGGAUGGACAAGCUAGCGGCGUGA
rnacentral:rRNA from 1 species